rnacentral:lncRNA from 1 species
UGUAGAUUGAGAUUAUUUGAGAUCUGGAAUGAAGAUGCUUCCUCUACAGAUGUUUGCUUAUUUUAGGUGACUGAUAUUGUUUGGCUCUGUGUCCCCACCCAAAUCUCAUCUUGUAGCUCCCAUAAUCCCCAUGUGUUGUGGGACGCACCUGGUGGGAGAUGAUUGAGUCAUGGGGGCGGGUCUUUCCUGUGCUGUUCUUGUGAUAGUUAAUGGGACUCAUGAGAACUGAUGGUUUUAAAAAUAGGAGUCUCCCUUGCACAAAGCUCUCUUUUUGCCUGCCACCAUCCACAUAAGAUGUGACUUGUUUCUGCUUGCCUUCUGCCAUGAUUGUGAGGCCUCCCCAGCCAUGUGGAACCGUAAGUCCAAUUAAACCUCUUUCUUUUGUAAAUUGCCCAGUAUCGGGUAUGUCUUUAUUAGCAGUGUGAAAAUGGACUAAUACACUGACCAAGGACACUAGUAAUUUAGGAAUACCUUAAGUUAAAUGGGUAUCAUUUUUAUUACUGCCAGUGUGAAUUUAGAUGCAAAUCCUCAUGAGGGUUGCUUACUCUUAUUUGGUUCUUAGGGAACUAGGGAAUGAUUACAUUGCUAAUUCACUAUUAAACCUGAGGUAGCUGUUUUGGGUCUCAACUUCAUACAUGAAGAAAUUGCUAUUAAACUGAAUACUUUGUGUUGACCCUAGGCUUAGUUUCAUUUCCAGAAUCAGGGAAUCAGAUAUUUAUGUUAAAAGAUUAUGUUAAUUCUCCCAAUAGAAAGCUAAUUUUAGUACACCUUCCAUUUACUGGGUCAAUGCCUUCAACUGACUUUGGCUUUAUUCAGGAAAAAAGUACACAAGGUGGUGUUGGAGCUUCUUGUAGCGCUAGAAAGUAGUAAGGAAUUGCUAAAACACAUAAAAGGUAUAUAUCAUCCACCUGAUGGUUUUGAUGCUGGGCAAGUGAGCCCCCAAACAGGGGCUUAGCCUGGAAGGGUUUUUAGAUUCACCUAGGAAAGAAUUCAAGGGUGAGCUGGUAUGUUAGACAGCAAUUUUUAUUGAGGUGGCAGUGUGCAGCCACAGGUAUUGCUCCUUGCACAGCAGGGCUACCCAAUGGGCAGUGUGCCCAGAGUAGGAGCUCAGAGGCAGUUCUGUGGUUAUAUUUAUACCCACUUUUAAUUAUAUGCAAAUUAAGAGGCAGAUUAUGCAGAAAUUUUUAGAAAGAUGGUGGUAAGGUUGUUGUUAUGGAAAGGUGUGGUAACUCAUGAGUGUUGCCAUGGAAAUGGUAAACUGUCAUGGCACACUAGUGGGCAUGUCUUAUGGAAAAGUACUUCCACCCUAUCCCUGUUUUAGCUAGUUCUCAAUUUGGUCUAGUGUCCAAGCCCCACCUCCACAGUCAAGUCCUGCCUCCUGCUCAGUUUUAUUGAUGUGAAAAUUAAUCACAUGAGUGAGAUAGUGUUUGUCAGGAUUCUUCACUGUAAAGUUACUCUUCUGUCCUUGAUCAUAUACUAGUCUUUCAAAAGAAGGCCUUAUAUGCAGCUCACAUUUAAAGAAUAGUAGUGAUGUCUUGAAGAGUAGAUUAUCCAUGUAAAUGUUUUGGGAAUUUUUCUAUGUAGGUUUGUCUCUCUGCUCCACUUUUUAUUCUUUCAAUCAUUUAUUAAAAUAAGUGUGGAAUCA